UUACCUGGUCUUGACAUCCCGGGUAAGUCUUUCUGAAAGGAGAGAGUGCCUCGCAGAGAGCUGGUGACAGGUGCUGCAUGGCUGUCGUCAGCUCGUGUCGUGAGAUGUUGGGUUAAGUCCCGGCAACCGAGCGCAACCCCUAUCUUUAGUUGCCAUCAUUGAGUUGGGCACUCUAAAGAGACUGCCGGUGUCAAACCGGAGGAAGGUGGGGAUGACGUCAAGUCCUCAUGGCCUUUAUGACCAGGGCUACACACGUACUACAAUGGCCGGUACAAAGGGCAGCGACACAGCGAUGUGAAGCCAAUCCCGAAAAAGCCGGUCUCAGUCCGGAUUGGAGUCUGCAACUCGACUCCAUGAAGUUGGAAUCGCUAGUAAUCGCGGAUCAGCACGCCGCGGUGAAUACGUUCCCGGGCCUU
rnacentral:rRNA from 1 species